AUUGGACGCUGGCGGCAUGCCUUACACAUGCAAGUCGAACGGUAACGCGGGGCAACCUGGCGACGAGUGGCGAACGGGUGAGUAAUGUAUCGGAACGUGCCCAGUUGUGGGGGAUAACUGCUCGAAAGAGCAGCUAAUACCGCAUACGACCUGAGGGUGAAAGCGGGGGAUCGCAAGACCUCGCGCAAUUGGAGCGGCCGAUAUCAGAUUAGGUAGUUGGUGGGGUAAAGGCUCACCAAGCCAACGAUCUGUAGUUGGUCUGAGAGGACGACCAGCCACACUGGGACUGGGACACGGCCCAGACUCCUACGGGAGGCAGCAGUGGGGAAUUUUGGACAAUGGACGCAAGUCUGAUCCAGCCAUGCCGCGUGCGGGAAGAAGGCCUUCGGGUUGUAAACCGCUUUUGUCAGGGAAGAAACGCUCUGGGUUAAUACCUCGGGGUAAUGACGGUACCUGAAGAAUAAGCACCGGCUAACUACGUGCCAGCAGCCGCCGUAAAAC
rnacentral:rRNA from 1 species